UUCCUUCAGUAGGAUCCGACCGACUUUCUCUCGCUUCUUCACAGUCACAUUGUGACACGGCAGCGUGUGCUCGUCCCGCCUGCUCGAUGUGUCUCAUAACCAGGGCCCGACAACGAUCUCUUCAUAGAUCCCGAUAUUUCUAUUGAUUAAUCACUAGGAUUUAGCCUGUGAUAACGGCUCCUUAGCUGCUCAGCGAGAGGAAAUCUAUCCUAGAGAGGCAGUUUUGCUUUAAGACAAGUAUUUUGCGCAAUUCCAUCAGGUUUCUGGCGUGAGGCAGUUUUUUCUGUGAUAAAACAUUUAUAAUCUGCAUAAAGGGGUGGUUCACCUUCAAGGUGAACAAGCCGUUUAAAAGGUCCACCGACAUAUAUUGCCUGGGCGCUAACAAUUUACUUGAGCUAGAGAAUCAAGAUUGUGACUGAACAUCGGAACCACGGAUAUACGACAAUUCCUGGAAACGAGGAGCACUCGAGUGGCUUGUGAUUGAACUACGGCUUCCAGCAGCUCGUGGUUGAAGACCCAGCAGAUAAAGAUCUGGCUGUGAGCCCUUCUUCGGUUCAUGUAUUUAUAAAAGGCCACGUUAUCUGCUCAAUGUCUAAUCUGUGCAUAUAAAGUGCCAGUUUUUGUUAUAUAACCUUUGUCCGCAGGUCCCUUGUUUGUUAUAAUAUUGUGAAGCACCACAUGUGCCUGUGAGCACUAUGUAAAUUGAGGACACUGAUGCAACCCCCCUCCGCUUGCAACUGAUGGAGGGCUACAGACUGGAUGUUCAUAUAUCUAAAUCCAUGUUCCUUGUCCAAUGGCUUUCUGAUCAUAUAGUCCUAGCAUGUUGCAGCGAGUCUGUACAAUGCUGCAGAAGGUUAGAUUUGCUUAGAGCAAGUUCCCUUAACUCGGUGAACACAGGAUCAGAAAGAAAUUCAGGGGUUAAAUAUAAGCACUCAUACUUAUAACACACUUGCAUUUGUGCUGGAGUUUGGGCUGUCACUUUUCUCACAACACGUGAUCCCUCACUUUGAUGACUGCCUUCUGGAGUGAGGAAUCCACAGCCCUGCUGCUUGUUGUUUUCUACUUCCCAUAGAUCUCUCACUCCAGGGGCACUGACAGCAGGGUGUCUCAGUGAGCGAAACUUGACCACCCCCACCCCUUCCCUUCUUCCCUGUUUAUUUCCUCUCCUUCCUUGUCUGUGUGCUAGAAAAAUGCUGGUGGAAACCAGGCGGAAACCUUUUUUUUUUCCCCUUUGGCAGUCUGGCCUUCCAGAGAUCCUAAACUGACAGCACAGCAAUACAGUUACAGGAUUAACCCUCAAUAUGACAGUGGAUUAUGGAAUUCUUUUGUGCCUAGAAAGUUCCAGUCGAAGUGUGCAGCAGAGACAGACUUUUUUGAGGGUUCCAACAGAAGGGAGAAUAAAGAAGAUUGUUGUAAACUCUGUGCAUCAUACAGAUAAAUCAUACAGUUAGAGGUAAACUGAGUUGGCCUAGGUCUUCUCGGAAGAGCCCCUAGAUUGCAGAAAUGUACAGCAGGCAAUGAAACGGUCAACACAGAUUUGCUAGUUUAAUGCCUAGCACCACCACUGGUAAAUAAGGCUGUGCUGGGCCAGGGCUCCUGUGUCAAAGGACAAGAAGUUGGCUUGUUAAUCGUAUCAUAAGACCUUGAACGUCUGCCAGCUCCCUGGGAACGAGUCAGCACAGCCGUAUAGUGAAGGCAUUAGAUAAAAUAGAGAUGAGAAAGACUGAGUGCAGGCUAAAUAAAGUGUGGUAGCAACAGCAUAUGCAGACCCAUCUUGUAGCAUGCAAAAGUUAGGCCCCAAAGCCUGUAACUUCAGGCAAACUUUACAGACACUCCCAUUCCCCUAGUAGCUUGUUUUUUUUUAGAGAAAAAAAAAAUUGAGCAGUAAAGGCAAGAACGGGAGGGUAUACUUUUACUAUGCUGUUUGCUGACUUGUAAAACUUUAUCUAGUUUAUUUGUUAACAAGGCAAUUUUUAACCAAAGAUGCAAUAUCCAAAACACAGGACUUUGUGUGUUCUUUUAAGUAUAAGUGUUGACCUUUGGGUGUAUUUUUUUUGUAUAAAUGCAGAACUUGGGUUUUUUGUGCACAGUGCAGAACUCUGGUGUUCUUUUUUGUAUCAGGGUAGAACUUAUGUGUUGCUGUUUUGUGUAAGCGUUGUACUUUGUGCGUGUGUGUUUUUUUUAUAACUGAAGAACUUUGUGUUCUUUAUUGUAAAAGCCCAGAACUUUGUGUGAUCAUUUUUGUAUAAGUACAGAACUUUCUUUGUUAUUUUUUGUACAAGUGUAGAACUUUGUUAGUUCUUUAUUGUAUUUAUCCAGAACUUUGUGCAUUAUCUUAUUGUAAAAGUACAGACCUUUGUGUGUUCUUUAUAGUAUAAGCGCAUAACUUUGUGUAUUUGUUUUGUGUACGUGUGUAGAACUGGUUUCACAGUAGGAUUCUCUGUGGCCCAAAGUGUGCAAUCAGUCCCAAACACACAGCAAGACAUGAACAAAAGCUCAGGGUGCAUCGUUUUUGUUACAGAGCAGAGCAUGUGCACUUCCUGCAGAGUGACAAAACUGUGGCACCAGACAGUGAAUGUUUAACACAUUUGCAGCUGUUGCUGAACUACAGCAACUAGCACAAUGAAGCAGCUGAAGGCUGAGGAGUUCUAGUUCACCAGAAGCAGGAUAGUCUCAUCUUGAAAACUCCUCAACCAAAACCAGGGGGAAAAAUAUCCUCCCUUGCAGUGGAGGAGUUAACAGCAAAGCAAUCUUAUUCCACAUAGCAACAUCUGCAAGGCUGGUUCUUCCUGUGGCUAACUGCACUGCACGCUGUGUGUCUGGGAGUUACAGGCUCUGCAUGUCAGCUUGACCACGUAGCAGGAAGUCACAGCCUGAGCUUUAACUCUGUGCGCUGCCGGGGACUUUAAAAGGCUCUACAGAUAGCACGUGCAGGGAGGGGGUCGCCCAGAUGGCACAACCGUUUCUUUUUCUAUUUAAAGGUAUUUCAGGAUUUGCAUAUUUACAUGUAGGAACAGUAAAGCCCUUAAGUUAAAAGUUCCCAUGCAACAGAAUUAUGGUUAUAUUCCACUUGUGAUCAGAAUGUACAAAUUGUACAUUUAUAUGUCUGUUAAAGCUUAAAAGAAUAUAUAUAAAAAAAAUUAUUUGCAAGGCAUCUGCCAUUUGGCUUAACCCAUUAAAAUCCAGUGUGGGCAGGCUGCAAAAAUCUGAAAUGAACAGAAGUUUGACCCAUUCUCCUGGCUGUCCAGUUCUCUAACAAGUUUGGUAACUCUUGUCAUUAAAUCUGGCUCGACUGCUCAGGAAACAAGACCUGCCAACAAAUAAAUCAUCCCAUGACAGAGAAAAACAUUCGAAAGAUACACAGAAAGUCAAUCGAUUGCAAUGUCAUCAAAAGCCAUGCAUUCUAAGCAUAAUGUGGUGAAAAAAUAUAAAAUGGAGGGAUAGUGCUCCUUGAAAUGAGAAUGAAAGGAUGGUUCCCUUGGGCUCAGAAAAAGGGAUCCAACCAUCCUGUCCCCUCAGCUGCCCAAGAGAUCUUACUGCUCUGGGAGACUUCUGCUUGGUAAUGACCAAAAAGUGCUGCGCUCACUCAUUCACUUCCCCACCAACAGUGUCACCACACCCAGCCCUACUGGACCCCCUCCCCCACUUAGUGAAGGCUGGUUAAUGACUGACAAGCCCCCUCCCCCAAGACUUCAUAUCUCUCCUGCCGUGGAGCAUGUGCAGCUGGUUUGCAAGCUAAAUAAACCUAGCCUGUGUUAUCUGGAUAAAGCAAGCUGAGCGAUUAACUCUUUAGGGUAGUGGCCAACGGGUAGAUUUGUUGCCAGCAGUCGUGCAUAAAUAAUCGCGGGCGACAAAUCUCCUAAAAAUGCGUCUCCACUAGAAAUAACUAAGAAUAAGAAAGAAGACUUGUGCUGCCUUUAGCAGAAAUAAAAGUUCACUUACAGAAUACCGAUAGUAAUGUGAAUUUAAACAUUAUCCAUGGCAACCUGCAUACUCAAGAUCAGAGUUUUGUCAACUUUUUUUGUUUUGUUUUUAGCUGUGUGUUUGUGGUCUCCUUAUUUCUACCAUUCACCCAUCAACAAACUGCUCCAAGAUUCCAAACACUAUUAAAGUUACAAAAGUUA